CUACGGGUGGCAGCAGUGAGGAAUAUUGCACAAUGGGGGGAACCCUGAUGCAGCAACGCCGCGUGGAGGAUGACGCAUUUCGGUGUGUAAACUCCUUUUAUAUUUCAAGAAAAUGACGGUAGCAUAUGAAUAAGCACCGGCUAACUCCGUGCCAGCAGCCUCGGUAAUACGGAGGGUGCAAGCGUUACUCGGAAUCACUGGGCGUAAAGGACGCGUAGGCGGGUUGGAAAGUCAGGUGUGAAAUCCUACAGCUUAACUGUAGAACUGCACUUGAAACUUCUAAUCUAGAGUAUGGGAGGGGGAGAUGGAAUUAGUGGUGUAGGGGUAAAAUCCGUAGAUAUCACUAGGAAUACCUAAAGCGAAGGCGAUCUCCUGGAACAUUACUGACGCUAAGGCGUGAAAGCGUGGGGAGCAAACAGGAUUAGAUACCCUAGUAGUC
rnacentral:rRNA from 1 species